rnacentral:rRNA from 1 species
GUAUAAGGGACAGCAGCAGCCGCGGGAAUACGGAGGGUGCAAGCGUUAAUCGGAAUUACUGGGCGUAAAGCGCACGCAGGCGGUCUGACAAGUCAGAUGUGAAAUCCCCGGGCUUAACCUGGGAACUGCAUUUGAAACUGUCAGGCUGGAGUCUUGUAGAGGGGGGUGGAAUUCCAGGUGUAGCGGUGAAAUGCGUAGAGAUCUGGAGGAAUACCGGUGGCGAAGGCGGCCCCCUGGACAAAGACUGACGCUCAGGUGCGAAAGCGUGGGGAGCAAACAGGAUUAGAUACCCCUGUAGUCCCUGUCUCUUAUAC